GACUCCAUGCCCCAAUGGAUAACGUGCUGGUUUACGAAACUAGAGAUUCUGGGUUCGAUCCCCAGUGGAGUCG
rfam:Ipomoea nil DNA, scaffold: scaffold0268, cultivar: Tokyo-kokei standard.